CGCGUAGGCGGCUUCGGAAGUCAUGGGUGAAAGCCCCGGGCUCAACUCGGGAAUGGCCUGUGAAACCACGGAGCUGGAGUGCUGGAGAGGGAAGCGGAAAUUCCCAGUGUAGCGGUGAAAUGCGUAGAUAUUGGGAGGAACACCUGUGGCGAAGGCGGCUUCCUGGACAGACACUGACGCUGAGGCGCGAAAGCCAGGGGAGCAAACG
rnacentral:rRNA from 1 species